AUGUCUGGCGGGGGACUUGUUAGGGACCCCCACGUCAGUAGUUUUGGGACUUUGUUCUUAGGAGGGUUGGAUUCUCUAGAGAGGACCCUUCAGUGUUCUGCCUGGAGGGUAACACCCUGGUGGCCCCUGGGAGCAGGGCAGGGGACAGGGCGGGGACCUCAGCACUCAGCAGCCCCUCGCACUCGGCUCCCUGUUUCCAGUGUGACACCCCAUCCCCAGGCCAGGGACCCCUGGUUACCUCCACUAGACAAUGACUCUGGUUUUCUGCUGGGGUUGGGCCAGGUGACAGCCUGGCAGUUCUGGGAGGGCAUUUGGGGGUUUGACCGCUCCUUAUUUCACACCCACUAUGACACCCAUCUGGGGCUGCCAGCUGAGCCCAUGGCACUUCUCUGCAGUCAAUCAGGCCGGUGCUCAGCCGCCAGCCCUGCUCACUUGGGAUGCGGCCUUGCUGAGUCCCUUAAGCCAGAUGCCACUCUACAGCUACUUUCCAGCUUCAAAAUGGUCCAAAUGUGGUCUCCUGUCUUGGUUGUCCCACCCUUGUGCAUUUAUACCUUAAAAGAAAAAGAAAAGAAAUCCUCUUCCGCUGUCUUCCUGGGGCUCGGGGCGGCGAGAAACUUGGCGCACGUGUUUAAUCUGCCAACCUCAGCGACGCUGUCCGGGCGAGACCAGCAUGGCAGGCCCAGGAAACCCACAUCCUUCAGAAACAUUCCAGGGCCCGGCACAAGGUCCCCCCUCGGCCCCGGGAAGCUUCCCAGAACCCAUCGGCCGCAAGGGUCUCCCCCUCGGCCUGGGUCUCAGGACUUGUUCUGGCUGGAGCUCCAGGUGCUAGUUUACCUUCCCUGGAGACUGGGAGCCCCUGCAGGGCGUCUCCACGGGCCCCUUCUGACUCCCUCCUCUCUCUUCUCCCUCCCAACCACAGCCCCCACCGGCGGUGCUGCCCGCAGCCGGCACUCAGCAUGCUUCCUAAGAAAGCACAGCCCCGGGGCCAGCCUGGUGGUGCAGUGGUUAAGUGCACAUGUUCCGCUUCGGCGGCCCGGGGUUCGCUGGUUCGAAUCCCGGGUGCAGUUAUGGCACCGCUUGGCAAGCCAUGCUGUGGUAGGCGUCCCACACUCCCACAUACAAAGUAGAGGAAGAUGGUCACGGAUGUUAGCUCAGGGCCAGUCUUCCUCAGCAAAAAGAGGAUUGGCAGUUAGCUCAGGGCUAAUCUUCCUCAGAAAAAAAGGCACAGCCUGGUAG
rnacentral:lncRNA from 1 species